AUUGAACGCUGGCGGCAGGCCUAACACAUGCAAGUCGAGCGGAUGAAGGGUGCUUGCUCCUGGAUUCAGCGGCGGACGGGCGAGUAAUGCCUAGGAAUCUGCCUGGUAGUGGGGGAUAACGUCCGGAAACGGGCGCUAAUACCGCAUACGUCCUGAGGGAGAAAGUGGGGGAUCUUCGGACCUCACGCUAUCAGAUGAGCCUAGGUCGGAUUAGCUAGUUGGUGGGGUAAAGGCCUACCAAGGCGACGAUCCGUAACUGGUCUGAGAGGAUGAUCAGUCACACUGGAACUGAGACACGGUCCAGACUCCUACGGGAGGCAGCAGUGGGGAAUAUUGGACAAUGGGCGAAAGCCUGAUCCAGCCAUGCCGCGUGUGUGAAGAAGGUCUUCGGAUUGUAAAGCACUUUUAGUUGGGAGGAAGGGCAGUAAGUUAAUACCUUGCUGUUUUGACGUUACCAACAGAAUAAGCACCGGCUAACUUCGUG
rnacentral:rRNA from 1 species